CGUAGGCGGAUGCUUAAGUCAGAUGUGAAAGCCCCGGGCUCAACCUGGGAAUUGCAUUUGAAACUGGGUAUCUAGAGUUUGAUAGAGGCGAGUAGAAUUCCUAGUGUAGCGGUGAAAUGCGUAGAUAUUAGGAGGAAUACCAGUGGCGAAGGCGGCUCGCUGGAUCAAAACUGACGCUGAGGUACGAAAGCGUGGGGAGCAAACG
rnacentral:rRNA from 1 species